CAUGGGUUUUCAAAUUUCUAGUCUAAACGCAUGGAAGGUGCAUUUCUCUUCUUAUACCGUGUCUUAAAGUUCGAGUAUUCUUAGUUGACAAUUCAAGUUAAAAUUACACAUUUACCCCAAAUCCCAAUUACAGAUCUGCCUCUGUUAAGUCUUCUUUCUCAUUCUAUCCACCAAAAAAUUUUGAAUACCCGCUCGCCCUCUCUCUCUCACCUACUCGGAUGCCCAAGCCUUCUUUGUCGUCGGUGUACUCUCUCUCGUUCUCGCUCGCAAGAACGAGUUGUGAUUGAGAGAGAAAGGAGAUGUUGAGGACCAAAUUCAGAGGAUCACUCACAAGUCUGAAGGUAGACUUAAUAGUGAACAUGGGCAAUCCCUUCGUCAAUCUCACCAUCGACGGCUUCUUGAAGAUCGGCACUGUUGUAGUGGCUAAGACGAUGACCGAGGAAGCAUAUCACAUCGUCAAAAGAGGUACCUAUUAUUUGUGAUGGUUUUUGUUCCCCUUGGUUUAUGCUUUUUGGCUUGGCAAGAUAAAUGUGUAUAUGGACUUAAUUAUGCUUAUUAUUUACUGUUAUCAGAUUUUGGUUUACUGUUUGUUCCCCUUUGUUUAUGUAUAUGGCUUGACAAGAUAAAUAUGUAUUAGUGGUGAGGCUUGAUGUUUCAAGGACAACUUUUGAAUUUGUUUUUCUUCAACAUGCAAACAUUGGCUAAUAAUUCUGAAAAGGUCAUUAAAUUCUUGCUUUGCCCGUUAAAUAUGGAUUUCAAUUGGUUGUGGAACACAACAAUAUGGUAUCUUCAUAUAGUUUGGUGAAUACAAACUAAAGUUUAUUAAUUUCUUCGUUUAUUUAUUUUUGGACACAACAAAGUGACAUUAAUUUUUGUAAGCGCAUAAAUACAUGAAGUGACACUGGUUUUUGUAAGCGUAACAAAGAAUGACCUCAACAUUAGUGUCGCCGUCAAUUGCUUCCCAUUCUUGCAUCACCAAUGAUCCAAAAGAACGGCACCAGCAUCGCCGUCAACCGCUUCCUAUUCUUGAAUAACUGAUGAACCAAAAGAAUGACACCGACACUACUUCAAAUCUUCGAAGCACUUCUUGUUCUGCUUAAAGUCAUCAAUUGCUUCGAAUGUUCAAUCGUUAUCAAUUGCUUCAAUUUGUUUUUCUUUUAGAUUUUUGUUUUUUUAAUUCUCAAUCAAAAUUGUUUUUCUUAGAUCUUAUUUGAUUGAUUGCAACACCUAGCUAGCUAGGAAAUUUAAUUUUAUAUUUUGUCUAGGAGCUUGUUCAUCCUUUCCAACUUUGUUGUGCUACAUAUAAAUAAAUAAUAUGUAAUAAUUAUUUGAUUAAUGGUUUUGAUUGCUUUCCUUUAAUGAUCUAGAUUUGAAUUCAGAUCAAAGUAUAUUUCAAUAUUUCUACCUAACUGUUGGAUUCUUCGCUAUCUCAAAAACCAUUUUUGCAGCCAUUACAAUACUUCCAACCCAAGACCAAGCAUUUUACUAAAAUUGAAAGGUAAAAAACAAAACAUGCAUUAUUGUCACCAAGGCCAACAAAUAUUAGUGUUAGCAACUUCUACUUUCCAUUGAAUCAGACAUAAACCAAAAACUAAACCAAUUAUGGGUUAGAAUCAAUUAGAACAAUCUUGAUUUAUAUUUUUAUAUAGAGAGAUUUAAGGACAAUAACCUUGUAAGCUCGAUCAAGUCUAUAAAAUAUUCGCACAAAAAGUGAGAUACAACUAUACCAUGAGAAAAGGGAGACCUUUUCCAUUAAGGUCUAUAGUAAAACACGUUAUACUACAAAUCUAGAGGGGGGCAUUAGAUAUGUAAUAUAUGCGUAUAUAUAAUAAUUGGAACCUUUAGAGCUCAGUUUCCACAAAUAAAUAAGAAAUAAAUAUGACAAAGGUUGUAAAAAAAUCGAGUCCAAAAUGAACAAAAACCACUCUGAAAAUAUGACAAAUUGCUCAAACUUAGCUUAACCAUUAGAAAUGCAUGAUCUUUGAGGCUGCAACUGCUGGGCUUGUGGAGGCACUAACAGUUGCAGCCACUGACAACCGUCGAGAGUCAUGGCCAUUGAGGGAGAGAAGAAGGGGAGAGGUUGUUGGUGUGUGAAGAAACAAGGGACUACUCGUUGCUGCUAUUAAAGCCAAGAAGAUCAGGAUUCACAAACAAAGGGCAGUCCUCACUUUGCUAGUCAGCUUCAGGGGCGGCAAAAUCUGCAUCCAAGAUCAGAUUCAGAGGCUCUUGGAUGCAAUCUUGGUGGAAAAUAGCCGAGCAUUAACUAGUCAAUCCUAUGUUUGUUUGUAAGAGAUGUUGCCAUUCUUGCUCAAAUCACAAUCCAAGCCCUUUCAAUUAGCCAAGUCCAUAUCAAUAAAUCAAGCAAGGAAGCAAAAUCCAUAAUUUGUAAAAAUGUGCAUGAAGCUCCUUGCACACGAGGCUCCGGCAAAGCCAUAAUUGCAUAUAACCUUCCUCUUUAUCUUUUUGUAAAGAGACAGUUUUCCCAACCCAGAAUAGUGAUAUUAGCAACCUAAAAUUAAAACCCAUAACAUCUCUCAUGCAUCAACCCAAAUGAGAUAAAGAAUAAAAUAGUUCACACUAAAAGCAAGCUGAAAAUAUCAUGAAAUAUGCAGAACAUAAUCACACUUUUAAAGACUACAGAAAUAUAAAAAUCCUCUAACACUCCUCAAAGCAAGCAAACAAGUUUUUUGUGAAGGAUAGAUUAUACCCCUAAUUUGGUACUAGUGUGUGUUAGUAGCCCUUGAGGGAAUUUAUUUAGCUAACUGGAAAUCAACAAAUUGAAACAGAAAGACAGAUGCAUACAAACACCUAACAUACAUCUAACUGGAAAUGCAAAUGCAUAGCAAAAGAAGUAAAUGAAACAAAUGCAGACAAACACAGACCAUGAACCAUGUAAACAUAAACACAUAGACCACAAUGAACAUCAAGAGAAUGAACCCCUAAAAUUCAGAAAAGCAAUACAGAUAAUAGAGGCAAAAACUCAAAAAUUACACAACACUAGUCAAUAUUAGCCCAUUUUUGCAGCAAACCAAAGUCAAUCCCAUGUUGUAAAAUGUAACAUGUUGGUAAUACAUAUACAUGAGAUUUCUCAAGCUUCACCUCAUUAGGGCAUGAAGUGUAUGACAUGAGGAUUAAACACAUAUACAUGAGAUUUUAAAAUAUUAGAAAGCUAAUUGCUACUAGUUAGCUGUAGGCUUGAGAAAGAGCAAACUUUAAAAACACAACUGAUAUGUUCAUAAAACCCAUUAAAGCCACAUUAGCUAUGUUUUCCAAAAAGUGAAGAAAAUACCUUAAGGGAGCCAAACCUGUAUAGAUUGAAGGCAACAACUAAGUGUAGGAAUAAGCAUAAAUAAAUCAUUCCACAAACAACAAAGAA